rnacentral:ncRNA from 2 species
UUCUCAUCCAGAGUGGCAGAGGGACUGGCCCUACGAAGCCACGGCAACCCGCCUUAGGCGGGUGCUAACUCCUGCCCCGAGGCGUCCAGCAGCAUUCGCCGUCGGGGAGAGAUGAGAA